rnacentral:misc_RNA from 1 species
UCGUAACAAGGUUUCCGUAGGUGAACCUGCGGAAGGAUCAUUACCGAGUGUAGGGUUCCUAGCGAGCCCAACCUCCCACCCGUGUUUACUGUACCUUAGUUGCUUCGGCGGGCCCGCCAUUCAUGGCCGCCGGGGGCUCUCAGCCCCGGGCCCGCGCCCGCCGGAGACACCACGAACUCUGUCUGAUCUAGUGAAGUCUGAGUUGAUUGUAUCGCAAUCAGUUAAAACUUUCAACAAUGGAUCUCUUGGUUCCGGCAUCGAUGAAGAACGCAGCGAAAUGCGAUAACUAGUGUGAAUUGCAGAAUUCCGUGAAUCAUCGAGUCUUUGAACGCACAUUGCGCCCCCUGGUAUUCCGGGGGGCAUGCCUGUCCGAGCGUCAUUGCUGCCCAUCAAGCACGGCUUGUGUGUUGGGUCGUCGUCCCCUCUCCGGGGGGGACGGGCCCCAAAGGCAGCGGCGGCACCGCGUCCGAUCCUCGAGCGUAUGGGGCUUUGUCACCCGCUCUGUAGGCCCGGCCGGCGCUUGCCGAACGCAAAUCAAUCUUUUUCCA